rnacentral:rRNA from 1 species
AACGAACGCUAGCGGUAUGCUUAACACAUGCAAGUCGAACGAGGAAGAUAAGCUUGCUUAUUUUCUUAGUGGCAGACGGGUGAGUAAUACAUAGGAAUUUGCCUUUUGAUGGGGGAUAACUUCAGGAAACUGAAGCUAAUACCGCAUAAGCUUGAAAAGGAAAGAUUUAUUGUCAGAAGAGAAGCCUAUGUCAGAUUAGAUAGUUGGUGGGGUAAUGGCCUACCAAGUCUAUGAUCUGUAGCUGGUCCGAGAGGAUGAUCAGCCACACUGGAACUGAGACACGGUCCAG